CAGUUGAGGCUUUCAACCAAUGGCGGCACUUUAGACUUAUGGUUAACCAGGUCAAGCACUGUAUAGUAAGAGUCUUAUGAUAACAGAAUAGUCCAAAUUAGAUUGAGUUGAGUUUCUUGUAUGGCAGCAAAAUGCACUUCAGUCACGUUCUCUUGUGUGUCAGUAUAAUAUCUAUCUGCUCUGCUCUGUGUGAUCACCUUAUGUUAAUGGUGUCUGCGUGAACGACUGAAUGACUGACUGACAAGGUCGUUUCCAAAGGCAAAGUCAGAGCCACACAUGGCUGUUCUGCUGGCUGCAGCACUCCGCCUCUGUCACUGUGAUGGAUCUCCUCCACCUGGCAACCUCCCUUUGCUGGCUAGGAGCAAAAGCAAGUCGAGGUGAUACAAGAGACAGUUAAAGCUUGUGGAGAGGUACAUGUGGAUUCUCAGGCAUUUGCAGGCAUGACUAAGGGAAGGGAACGAAAAGAGAGACAUCGAAUGUGGAUCGUUUGCCGAGAAGGACCGGUGAGAGAGGAGACAGUGAUAAACCGACAGAGGGAAAAGGAAGAGACAGAGAGACAUAAGCAUCAGGAGUCUGACAUAGAAAGAAAUACAGAGAAGAAAAGAAGAAAAAAAAAGCAGACAGGGAAAUGAGAUGGUGGGAGAAAGGAAAGCAGUUUCAUGGCUUCUCACAUGACACGAGAUGUCAUCAUGCAGCAUCUGAGGUUCUGUGCCUGACUGCUGAUUUCUGAUUAUACUGUUCCUACUGUGUGUUUGGUGAUUGCUUUCUGCUUUAGGACUUUCUCAGACAAACGCAGACAAAUUACAUGAUUUUCAGCCAGACUGUAAUGCUUUGUCAGCUUUACUUAGCCAGACUGCAUAUUGAGAACUCUUUUUUUUUUUUUUUUUUUUUGUGCUGCCAGUCUUGAGUUUGACCAGGCAUACCGGUCCAUUCAGCAAAAGUUUGGAUGAUAAUGUAACUCAGCAGCUCUCCAAACUUCCAAACUCUGUUAACUAUUUUAAAGAGAUGUUGUAGAUAUAAAACAAAGAAGUAGUGCAGUGUACUUGAAAAGACAUCUGUCUGUUGUCUGACCACAGUGAGCGAUGGCUGCGCCAGGUUAUUGCUUCUUUGAAUUUUAUAGACCGUAUUAAGAUAAUGCAUCUGUCCUCCAUUCAGAAAGUUACUAGUGCAUUUAGAAAAUGGAAAAUACAUCCUGGAAACGAAAGUAGGUUUAGUGCGACUUGAUUUUUUUGAACCUACCCUGAACUGUCUGAGAUUAUAGAGCGACAGAGAGGCAGCUGAGUCAUUUUACAAUCUUUCCAGCUGUCAUUGUUGGUAUAUUUUUUGUUUUAUUCUUUGUCAAAAGGCCCUUAAGUUCACUAUAUGGACUUUCACAUACAGUCCUUACUUGCCCCUCAAUGUCAACAGGAGAAAGUUGUUAUAGUUUUUCUGAAAUUCUUUACAUUUUAAAGUAUUUCAAGGCAAAAACUGCAACAUAAGUCUAGUUUACAUGUGUCCCAUGGAGCACCUGCUGCAUUUACACACAUUUUACUGAAUCAGCUGUUUAAGUCAGUGGUUUCCAACCUUUUUUGAUGCCCUUGUGAUCCCCUCAAAAUAAAGCAAAGUCUACCUGGGACCCUCUGUCACACAUUUCAUUAUCCACUUCUACACAGCCUGUUCAAGGCGGGAAUGUUGGACUGUUCAUCCGCCUCCCCAUUCUGUAUAACAGGUAGGUGGCAGCAUGGCGGGACAGUCGACUCUCGAUGCCGACGCUGUUGUGUUGCACAUCGAGCCUCGGACUCCAGAACGCUGGCAUGCUAUCUAAAAUCACACACGGGGGUGACGUCAUGCCGGCUUUGUUUGGUUCAGUGUGAAAAAGCAAAGCCGGCAUAAUGACAGGUCUUCUAUAUGGUAAUGUUGUGGGAUCUCUGUAUAAAAGGGGCUAUUGUCUAGCAGUUCAACAACAGAGCACCUAUUUUGUUUUAUUUCAGUAACUUUUAGAGGCUUGCAGAUAUGAGAUACAGUAAUUCACAAUAAAUAUAGCUUGAAGGAAAAAAAUGUGUCAGAAAUAUGUUUUUUUUUCUGUCUUCUGCCUCUUAGAGUAAUCCAGAGACAACUCUGGGAGUCCCCGGUUGGAAACCACUGAUUGGCAACUGCAGCGUCAUCUUUUUCACUAUAUGGAGAAAACAGAGACAUUAAAUCACUUAUCUCUGUCCACCAAACUGUUAGUUUUCAGCUUUUGUCAGCCUUUUUUACUUUACUCACUGUUGUUACAAGUGAC